GGAGAGGGAGGUACCCGGGGGCAGUGAGAAUGACGUGUGCUGGUGCAGAGAGGGGGUGGGGGGCUGCGGGCCCGGCUCUGUGGACCGGCUCCUAAUCCUCUUGUUUUCGGUACAGUCAGCAGAUGUGGCUUCUUUUAGCUGAAUAAUCCGUUAAAGGAAUAAUAAUUUUUAAAAGGGGGAUCGACCUCACCCAAAGAGGACGGCGAGCGAGAUUAGGGCUUGUAGAUGUACUGCCUUUCGUUGGAACGCCGCGGACUGAGACCAGUCCCUCAAGAAGAAGAACAAAAAGACGAAGACCUGAGUGGACCCCCCACCCACCCCCGCCCCGGACAAAGCACUUUGGGCUCGGCGAGAAGGGACGAGCCGGAGCGCUAGCUCGGGAAUACGAGUGAUCUCCGGUCCGCCCGGCGUGCGGACCUCCGAGGGGACUCGAAUUUUAUUUAGCCUCUUGGGAUCCAGCGCAUUAGACAAGAGUGACCUUUUAUAUCUGUGCCCACCCUUCACCUGCGAGAGGACUGCAGCAACCGAGUUCUGGAAGGCUGAUUCCCCAGAUUCUGGCCCCGGACCCCGGCAGCUCGCCCCUGCGGCACGCCCGGCCGGGUAGCGCCUGGACUCAGCAAGCUAGGAAAAAGCCUGGAUCCGAAAGGAUGGGGGAGAACAAAGAGCCUUUGCAAGACGUCGCUGUUAUCUCAUUGUCUGUGUGACUG
rnacentral:lncRNA from 1 species